GUCUACGGCCACACCACCCUGAACGCGCCCGAUCUCGUCUGAUCUCGGAAGCUAAGUAGGAUAGGGCCUGGUUAGUAUUUGGAUGGGAGAAGCAGAAGCUUUUGCAAAAUAAGGCUGCUAAAAU
rfam:Equus caballus chromosome 3, whole genome shotgun sequence.